AGCCCUGUAGUGAAAUUCACACUGGAUUGCAACUCCGGGAAUGGAGGGAACAACCUUCCAGGGC
rnacentral:tRNA from 1 species